rnacentral:lncRNA from 1 species
UUUUCUUUGAAGUUUGAACAAAUGUAUGUUAACAUAUAAUUAUCAUUUAUAUAAAUACACUAAAAAGAUGAUUUACUAUCCAACAAGUACAUUCUGCCAUUAAACAUAAAUACAUUGUAAUGAAUGUAAGUAUGUGGUUUUUAUCUGUCACAAUUUUUACUUCAUACAUCUUUUUGAUAAGCUGGAGUUAGAAAAAAUGUAAUAAUACAAAAACUAUGCUGUAUUUGUCAAAACAAUCAAUAAAGCACACAUAUUUCUUCUUUAAGGUGGUACCCAACACCUUGACUAAAAUGAAUUUAGCUCAUUAAUUUUCAUAAUUUUUUGACAAAAUAUUUAUUUUGAUCCUUUGACAAAAAUAUAAAAAUUUCAUAAAAACUUGAACCAAUGAUUCUCUCGUAAAAAAAUCGUUGGAUAAGUAGCAGUUUGACAAACACUAAUUUUUAUCAAUGAGAAGCUUUGCUAGGCCAUUAUUUCACAGGGCGGUCCGUCCACCAGUUUCAAGGUGCUGCCCUGUGCCCUUUUACAAUUCCAAGUGUGCCCUGCCCUUUUAAAGAUUCAUUUCAUAUUAUUUUGUUGGUUUUGAUAUGAUCCGCCAAUUACGAAAUUUACCUGGCAACAAGUUUAUGACUUUGUUUAUGAUUGCAUACUAAUCAAGGGUUACAACAGGUGUCAUAAUUUGUUGUUACAGCUAAUCCGUUUAUGGGAUGGGUCAUUAAUGAUCAUCAACAUUAAUCAUUCAAAUGGAAUCGAUCAGUCAGCAUUUGUCUUUGAUGAAAUUGGUACGAAAAUAACAAAAUCAACUGCCAAAGUCUAUUGUUAAUUCAGAAAUUAUUGCGUGCAAUUAUCAUUGUGAUUUUGUUAUUUUACACUAAAAUGUAAUUUUAAUUUUUGUCAUAUUUUUCAAAAUGCAAGUUUAAAUUAUUAUUGCGAUUGUAAUCCUGUCAUAUAUUUCGCUUUAAUAAAAACAUUGCAAUAUUUCUGAAUUUACAGUACCAUAAAAAGAAGCAAUUUGAAUGCAGUUAUUUCAUAAUCUGUAUAAACCUGUCUUUUACAUUAAAUUUCUGUCCAUGUGGAGUUUUCUUCUAAUCCAUUCAAAAUAGGGUUUAUAUUUAUAUAUUUAAAUACAAAUUGAAAUUAUUGAAAUACCUUGUGAUACAUGUUUGUCCUGGUUAUGGAAAUGCUGUAGCAUAAAUCUGACCAUAAAUGGAUACUGUGGAAUCACUUAUUUUCGUGUGUACCAAUUUUCGUGGAAUUUCGUGUGUACCAAUUUUCAUGGAUUAAGGAAAACUUACUGUAUAUACAUGUUCUGUUCGAUGGAUAUUUAAUUUUGUGGUUUUGCCAAAGUUUGCAUACAAGCCUAUAGGACAUUUGUCAUUCGUUGAACAUUUAAUUUCGUAGUUCAACUUUACCCAAAAAAUCUACGAAAAUUGGUAUCCAACGAGUAAAAAUGAAUCCACUAUAUUUUUUUUAUUAAUGACACUCAUGUUAACAGAUGAAAGCAAUAUGACAAUAUUAAUUCUGCAUUUAUUGGUAAAUUAUGUAGGUUAUGAUUUUUGAGAGAGAGAGAUAAAUGAUAAAUAAAAUAUGUAUG